UCCGGGGGCACCGUUGCUACACAUCCUGGAAUUAAAGGCUGAAAGCAAUGAUAGGCCACUUGAAUUUGGGGUCUUGGUGGAUGGAGACUACCUUCUCAUCCAAAGAUGUGGCCAUCAAGGAGAAGUCUUUCCCAUCGUAAAUAUCCAAGGGCGUGACUGAGCCAUCACUGAACUGGACCCAGCAACUGAUGGCUGCUUCCUAUGGAGAAAAAUAUUUGCUCACUCUGAUGAAGUGAGGUGCAUGCUGUGAGCCAAGCUGUAGAGAUUUCCACCCAGCUAGAAGCUGAGAGUGACCUCUGGCCAGCACCAGUGAGGAACUGAGACUAGCCAGCAACCGCACGAGUGAGCCUGCAUGUAGAUCCUUCCCCACAUGAGCCUUGAGAUGGGACCCCAGCCCCACUGACACUUGGACUGCAGCCUGUAAGAGACCCUGCUCAGAAGACCCAGCUCAGCCAUGCCUGGAUUCCAGAUCCACAGAAACUGUUUGAUAAUACGUGUUGUUCUUUCUCUUUUUGUGACAGGGUCUUGCUCUGUCACCCAGGCUGGAGUGCAGUGGUGCAAUUUCAGCUCACUGCAGCCUCGAACUGCUGGACUCAAGCAAUCCUUCCACUCCAGCCUCCUGAAUAGCUUGGACUACUGUGCAAGCCACCAUGCCUGGCUAAUUUUUAAAAUUUUAUGUAGAGAUGUGGUCUUGCUGUGUUGCCCAGGCUCAAACUCCUGAGCUUAAGCCAUCUGCCUGCCUCGGCCUCCCAAAGUGCUGGGACUACAGGCAUGAGCCACCAUGCCUGGCCAGCAUGUUGUUCUUUUAAACCACAUUAACUUUGGGGAUAAGUUUUAAACCACUAAGGUUUGGGAUAAGCCACUACGUUAGACAGAAUGGAUAGCUAACAUGACAAGGCUAGGGAUGAGUGGUGUGGCUCUGUAACCCAGCACACAAAGCAGGUGAAUAUGUAACCCAAGGUGAGGCCAAAUGUGAUAAGAAAGGCAGAGAGGGCCAGGAUGCUUGGAAGGAGACAGAUGUCAGCUGCUCCCUCAACAUCUGGUCCCUUCUGUGCAGUUUGCCCUUUGAUGGCACCUUCUCGGUCUCCAUCAGAACAGCAGCUGUUCCCUCUCACACUCACUCCACUGCCAUGUCUGAACCAGGCAGCUGUGACAGCGUGUGGGAUGCACUGCAGUGAGACUCAGCCAGGUCUUUGGGGAAUCUUCCCCUACAGUUUUUUCCCUCCGCAGCGCCAACGGUCAUUCUCUAAUCCACACCCUCAACUCAAUACCAGAAACCCCAGAGACUGAGAAAGAAUCAUUGCUGAAGCCAGCUCCCAACUGUCCCUGAGACCCACAGCCUUCGUCCUUGAAGCAUCCCCUCUCCCAGGGGCCAUGGGACCAAAGGAAUGAGCUUGCAAGGAAGGGAAUAUAAGUUCUCCCUCAGAUAAGCCCCAAUUCUCCACCCCCUGCUGAGUACACAGAUUCCAGGAAUAUUUCCUUGUCUCAUAAUGCAUAUACUUUUAGCAAUCAACAUGUCCCUAAUACAUGAAUUCUUAUACACGGUUUCUCUGAGAUGACAAAGUCUGUGAAUGAAGAGCCUGAGCUCCUACCACUCUCUUUACAUGGUACUCAUGUGGUUGCCUGACGGUAGAUGGUGGAGACUCCUGGGACUCUACCAAGCACCAUCGGGGUAAUGUACCAGACACUCAGUGGACAAGCCUCAGACCUCAUUUCACCAAGGCAGAGAGCUCAGAGCUUCUGGACUGGAGCGCAGAGAGGCAGUUCAGGUCAGGUUGACCCUGUCAGAUGUCCUUCCAGGGAACAUCUGCUGCCUCCUCCUUUCCAGCAUCAAUUUUCCCUUCUCCUAGAAUUUGUUCAUUCGUUCAGCCUUGGUGCACCUCUUCCUCUAGCUCCUCUGGCUCUAGGUGGGGAGUCCAGCCAGCCACUCAGUGUGUUUGAGGGCCUUGGCUACAGUAACUAGAUAAGGGAGGCCACAAAAUCCCAGUGAGGAUAAGACUUAAAUUCAGGACUUUGCUGGAACUAGUGGGAAGGAGAGGAGGCACUUUCUGCUGGAGUUGCAGAGAAGAGAGGAUGAAAGCCUGGAACCUCCCGAAAAACGCUGAUAAAGAAUGAAGCCAACACAGAGCAAAUCCAAGCUGAGCGGUGGAGGGAGGCUUGGUCCUUAGGGUACCACAUGCAUCCUCAGACCCAGUCAUGCCCAAAUUUACCACCCCGUACACUUCCUCCUUAGCCUGCCAUGGAGUUUCAGGGACAUACCCACCUCCUGCUGGAGACGAUGGGCACUCUCCAACCC
rnacentral:lncRNA from 10 species